GCCCCCACUCCGGUCUGGCUCGUGGCAAAGCAGAACGGCUUGACCCAGAAGUAGCACGCUCGCUGCACGCAAAGGAAGUACUCGGCCUCUUGAUCUGGACCUCCCUCGCCCUAAACUCUGCUUUGUUUAAUCAUGAUCAGUUGCUCUUCCCCACUUGGAACGUUGUUAUUUCAACAUGCCAAGGUAUCUUACCCUGGCUGAUACAACUGAGAGGAUCUCAAAGGAAGCAUGAUAAAUUCCAGAGCCAGGGCCCCCCAACUCCAAUUUACACACCUGUUUAGCAUUUCCAGCAUGGCCAUGGAAAGCAGAAGACAAG